rnacentral:rRNA from 1 species
UGGGGAAUAUUGGACAAUGGGGGCAACCCUGAUCCAGCCAUGCCGCGUGAGUGAAGAAGGCCCUAGGGUUGUAAAACUCUUUCACCUGUGAAGAUGAUGACGGUAACAGGAGAAGAAGCCCCGGCUAACUCCGUGCCAGCAGCCGCGGUAAUACGGAGGGGGCAAGCGUUGUUCGGAAUUACUGGGCGUAAAGGGCGCGUAGGCGGCUAUGAUAGUCAGGCGUGAAAGCCCCGGGCUUAACCUGGGAACUGCGUUUGAUACUGCAUGGCUAGAGAUUGGAAGAGGAGAGCGGAAUUCCCAGUGUAGAGGUGAAAUUCGUAGAUAUUGGGAAGAACACCAGUGGCGAAGGCGGCUCUCUGGUCCACAUCUGACGCUGAGGCGCGAAAGCGUGGGGAGCAAACAGG